rnacentral:lncRNA from 1 species
CUCUUUCCAGCCAGUGCCGAGCGAUGGACAUCUCUUGGGACAACUGGCACAAGUGCCACAAAACCAGGGACAAGAGAAAGCCCUACCACAAGAAGCGGAAGUAUGAGUUGGGGCACCCAGCUGCCAACACCAAGACUGGCCCCCGCCGCAUCCACACAGUCCGUGUGUGGGGAGGUAACAAGAAAUACUGUGCCCUGAGGCUGGACGUGAGGAAUUUCUCCUGGGGCUCAGAAUGUUGUGCUCAUAAAACAACGAUCAUCGAUGUUGUCUACAAUGCAUCUAAUAACGAGCUGGUUCGUCCCAAGACCCUGGUGAAGAAUUGCAUUGUAGGGCCAGUCUU